UUCUCUGCUGUUGGGCUCCCACCCCAAGCUCAGCCACCCACCUCCCCUCUCAGGGCCGGGAUGGUUAACCGGCGGCCUCUCCCUCCGAGGAGGCUACGUGGGCCUGGAUCCCCGCGGGCUACACCGGGCGUGCCCGGCGCUCAACGGGGCCCAGCCCCUAGCCCGGCCAGCGCCGGGUCGGCCCGCGCUUGAGAUGCCGUAAGCCCUCUCCCCACCCCGGGGAAAAGCCCAAAGAAAGAACGGAGUAGCCCCCGUAGCCCGCGACGCUGGGGUUGUGUUCACCUCCGGCGGCUCCGGCUCGCUGCGGCUUCUCCGGCUUCUCGUCUCCCGCCUUCCCGUCCGCCAUCUUCCCCGCCGCGGCCUCCCGCUGCAGCCCGGGCAGAGACGUCACGGCCCCGCCCAGCAACCAUAAAGCUUCGGGCGGGCCAGCGAGGCCGCAGCCUAGAGAGGCCCCGGAACGGCCGCCCGGAGCGGAUGUGACGUCAUCGGCCGACUGCGGCAGGAAGUGGGUGUGAUGGUGAGGGCAGGUCUGGGUUAGUGCGGGCUGCCUGACCUCCGAACGGUUGGUGGAACCCUAGGUUUUGCCUGCUCAGGGGUGGUUGUAGCUGGUCCUUCCUUUUAGUUAUUGGGUCAUCUGUGGGGUAGGGCUGUAUCCUUACGGGGAAAAUUCAGCAGUUCCCGAACCCCGUCUCGUGCGGACACCGUUCAUGCAUGCACUACCGUUUAAUCUCCAGGACAGUCCAUUGUGAAAUUAUCCUUUUAAUUUGCGUACUGACACCGGAGAGCAGUUUAUGGGAGAUCACAUAGUAAAGCCUUAGGGAAAUGGUUGUAGAAGUUUUUCCUCGGUUUUUGCACUCGUGAAAACUUGAGUGUAGAGUUGUGGCAAGCAAGCAAACAUUGUUGGCGGUUAAGGGCGCUUGCUGCUAUUCAAGAAGAACGCAGUUCAAUUCCCAGUACCCGCGUUGGGUGGUUCACAACUGCUUAUAACUUCAGCUCCAGGGAAUCCGACAACCUCUUGAACUCCGCAAGUAUCCACACUCACUUGCACAUACCCACACACACAUAAAGUAAAAUACAUUUUUAAAAACGAUACUCUUUGAAAGGCAGGAGCUGACCUUCCUAAGGAAAGGCCUCCUGAGAAUGCUGAGGGAUCUCUAAAUAGCCAGUAUGCUUUCUCCUGGGAACAAACUUCAGAGCCUCUUCCCAGCUACCAGUGUUUUUCAGGCAGAGCAAAAUGCGGAUCAUUUGAUCUAAGCAAGGCAGAAAGAAGAGGAAAGAAGGGCAAGGCCUGCCAGAGCCAUCCAUGGACACCAUGCUCCAGGCAGCCGGAGUCCCUUCAAUAUCAAUAACCACUGAUAGUAAAAAUCAAUACUCCAAUACUAGAGGAGAGUCAGCGUUUUCAGCUUGUCAAAUUCUUAGUACGGCAAAUCAUGCUACAUUAAGGGCUUCAGAAUGCCAUUAUCUUUCUGCUCUAAGGUAAAGACUUCAACUCAAAGUAAUUGUGAAUGAUAUACAGUAGUGACAGACUGAAUAUUUGAAAGGACAAUCAAAAGGCCAGGCAUGGUGGCACACGCCUUUAAUCCUAGCAUUUGGGAGGUAAAGCAGCAGUUCUCAACCUGUGGGUUGAGUCCCCUUUGGGUGUCGAAUGACCCUUUCACAGGGGUUGCCUAAGACCAUUGGAAAAUACUGAUAUUUACAUUAUGAUUUGUAACCAUAACAAAAUUACAGUUAUGAAGUAGCAACAAAAAUAAUUUUGUGGUUAGAGGGGUCACCACAACACGAGGAACUAUAUUAAAGGGUCACAACAUGAGGAAGGUUGAGAACCAGUGAGAUGGAGGCAGGCUGAUCUCUGUGAGUUUGAGGCUAGCCUGGUAUUCAUAGUGAGUUCCAGGACAGCCAAGGCUACAUAGUAAGAGCCUGUCAAAGAAGAAGGAGGAGGAGGAGGAAUGGGAGGAGGAGAAGAAGAAGAAACAUACAAAUUUGGAUGAAAAUCUUCUACAACCUGCCCUGGUAACCAAUUCUUAUCUACAAUAAACAGCCCAGAAAAUUAUCUUGGCAUGAGGUAGACAUGUAGUAAGCCAUGUUUCUAUCUCCUGUGACAGUCCAGGAAGUGAACUAAUAAUUUCUGUCGUAACCAGUGCCAAAUGGCCAGGACAGGUUAAUAACUGAUGGCUUUACUGUUUUUUUUUUUUUUAAAUCACCCCUGUGUAUACGUGAUGUUUAUAAAUGUGAGUGUAUAAGUAUGGUCACACACAUGUAGAAAUCAGAGUACAACCUCAGGUGUUGAUCCUUAUAUUCCGAAUUGUUUGAGGUAGGGUUUCCUUGUUGCUUGCUGCUAAGUAUACCAAGUUAGAUGGUCUGUGAGCCUCUGGAGAUUCCCUUGUCUUUACCAUCCAUCUUCCAGUAGGAGCAUUGUGAUUAGAGAUGUGCACACUCACGAACUCUUAUCUACUGAACCAUCUCACCAGCCCAGCUUCACUAAUGUUUGUCCCUGUUGAUAAUCUGAGAUCAAUCUGAGAAGGGCAAAUAUAUACUCCUGCCCAAUCCCUUAGGAUGCUCCACUGCUAGUAAGUUCAUCUAGAAGACAUGCCAAAAGCCUCAUCCACACUGUAAUGCAUUUCCGCUCCUCUGCCUUUGAAUUUCAUCCAAAACAGUGGUGAUGGCCUACUUCCUGAUAUGGAAAGCUCCGAAUAAAUGAGGUUUGGUUUUCUUA